AGAGUUGAUCAUGGCUCGGGACGAACGCUGGCGGCAUGCCUAACACAUGCAAGUCGAACGGAGUUAGAGGGGCUUGCUCCUCUAACUUAGUGGCGGACGGGUGAGUAACGCGUGAGUAACCUGCCUUUCAGUGGGGAAUAAUAUUCUGAAAAGAGUACUAAUACCGCAUAACGUACAGAAACCGCAUGGUUUUUGUACCAAAGAUUUAUCGCUGAGAGAUGGACUCGCGUCCGAUUAGCCAGUUGGUGAGGUAACGGCUCACCAAAGCAACGAUCGGUAGCCGGACUGAGAGGUUGAACGGCCACAUUGGGACUGAGACACGGCCCAGACUCCUACGGGAGGCAGCAGUGGGGGAUAUUGUGCAAUGGGGGAAACCCUGACACAAGCAAUGCCGCGUGAAGGAUGAAGGUCUUCGGAUUGUAAACUUCUUUUGUCAAGGACGAUAAUGACGGUACUUGACGAAUAAGCUCCGGCUAACUACGUGCCAGCCGCUGC
rnacentral:rRNA from 1 species